CCUACGGGGGGCAGCAGUGGGGAAUAUUGGGCAAUGGGCGCAAGCCUGACCCAGCAACGCCGCGUGAAGGAAGAAGGCCCUCGGGUUGUAAACUUCUUUUAACAGGGACGAAGAAAGUGACGGUACCUGUUGAAUAAGCCACGGCUAACUACGUGCCAGCAGCCGCGGUAAUACGUAGGUGGCAAGCGUUAUCCGGAUUUACUGGGUGUAAAGGGAGCGUAGACGGCAGUGCAAGUCUGGAGGG
rnacentral:rRNA from 1 species